rnacentral:rRNA from 1 species
AGGGUUGCCAACCCGCGAGGGGGAGCUAAUCCCGUAAAACCAGUCGUAGUCCGGAUCGCAGUCUGCAACUCGACUGCGUGAAGUCGGAAUCGCUAGUAAUCGCGGAUCAGAAUGUCGCGGUGAAUACGUUCCCGGGUCUUGUACACACCGCCCGUCACACCAUGGGAGCGGGUUCUGCCAGAAGUAGUUAGCCUAACCGCAAGGAGGGCGAUUACCACGGCAGGGUUCGUGACUGGGGUGAGGUCGUAACAAGGUAACCA